GGAUCCAGACUUUGAUUAUGGCUCAGGAUGAACGCUGGCGGCGUGCUUAACACAUGCAAGUCGAACGAUGAGAGGGAGCUUGCUCCCUGGAUUAGUGGCGAACGGGUGAGUAACACGUGAGUAACCUGCCCUUGACUCUGGAAUAAGCACUGGAAACGGUGUCUAAUACCGGAUACGAACUUCAGCCGCAUGGCUAGGAGUUGGAAAGAAUUUCGGUCAAGGAUGGACUCGCGGCCUAUCAGCUAGUUGGUGAGGUAAUGGCCCACCAAGGCGACGACGGGUAGCCGGCCUGAGAGGGUGACCGGCCACACUGGGACUGAGACACGGCCCAGACUCCUACGGGAGGCAGCAGUGGGGAAUAUUGCACAAUGGGCGCAAGCCUGAUGCAGCAACGCCGCGUGAGGGACGACGGCCUUCGGGUUGUAAACCUCUUUUAGUAGGGAAGAAGCAAAGUGUUUUACAUGGAGUGACGGUACCUGCAGAAAAAGCACCGGCUAACUACGUGCCAGCAGCCGCGGUAAUACGUAGGGUGCAAGCGUUAUCCGGAAUUAUUGGGCGUAAAGAGCUCGUAGGCGGUUUGUCGCGUCUGCUGUGAAAACUGGGGGCUCAACCCCCAGCCUGCAGUGGGUACGGGCAGACUAGAGUGCGGUAGGGGAGAUUGGAAUUCCUGGUGUAGCGGUGGAAUGCGCAGAUAUCAGGAGGAACACCAAUGGCGAAGGCAGAUCUCUGGGCCGUAACUGACGCUGAGGAGCGAAAGCAUGGGGAGCGAACAGGAUUAGAUACCCUGGUAGUCCAUGCCGUAAACGUUGGGAACUAGAUGUAGGGUCCAUUCCACGGAUUCUGUGUCGCAGCUAACGCAUUAAGUUCCCCGCCUGGGGAGUACGGCCGCAAGGCUAAAACUCAAAGGAAUUGACGGGGGCCCGCACAAGCGGCGGAGCAUGCGGAUUAAUUCGAUGCAACGCGAAGAACCUUACCAAGGCUUGACAUAUACCGGAAACGGCUGGAAACAGUCGCCCCGCAAGGUCGGUAUACAGGUGGUGCAUGGUUGUCGUCACGCUCGUGUCGUGAGAUGUUGGGUUAAGUCCCGCAACGAGCGCAACCC
rnacentral:rRNA from 1 species